AAGCAAGAGACGUCCUUCAUUAUGUUUGCAAAGAAGAAAAUCAAGUUUGCAACAUUUAAAAUGUUCCUAAACGAAGCAAUAACUUUUUGUACCAAGAGGCUGAUACGAUAAAACAGCUGCUGCUCAGGAGCUGUGGACCCUUCCUGUAGUUGGGUUACUCAGCAACAGUGUGAUCAUCAGCACUAGUUUGGUUUUGGCAGCUUUUUGAUAUGGACAUAUUAUGAGGAUGGAAAACCAAUGGACUAUUUAUG